UACGUAGGUGGCAAGCGUUGUUCGGAAUUAUUGGGCGUAAAGGGCGCGUAGGCGGUUUGUUAAGUCGGUUGUGAAAGCCCGGGGCUCAACCCCGGAGGGUCGACCGAUACUGGCAGGCUAGAGUACAGAAGAGGUAGCUGGAAUUCCCGGUGUAGCGGUGAAAUGCGUAGAUAUCUGCAGGAACACCCGUGGCGAAAGCGGCGCGCUGGACCACAACUGACGCUGAGGAACGAAAGCUAGGGGAGCAAACAGG
rnacentral:rRNA from 1 species